GCUCGGGUGGUGGAAUGGUAUACACGAAGGACUUAAAAUCCUUUGGCCGUAAGGCCUUGUGGGUUCAACUCCCACCCCGAGCA
rnacentral:tRNA from 1 species